rnacentral:rRNA from 1 species
GACGAACGCUGGCGGCGUGCUUAACACAUGCAAGUCGAACGGAAAGGCCAGUGCUUGCACUGGUACUCGAGUGGCGAACGGGUGAGUAACACGUGGGUGAUCUGCCUUGCACUCUGGGAUAAGCUUGGGAAACUGGGUCUAAUACCGGAUAUGAACUGCCUUUAGUGUGGUGGUUGGAAAGUUUUUCGGUGCAAGAUGAGCUCGCGGCCUAUCAGCUUGUUGGUGGGGUAAUGGCCUACCAAGGCGUCGACGGGUAGCCGGCCUGAGAGGGUGUACGGCCACAUUGGGACUGAGAUACGGCCCAGACUCCUACGGGAGGCAGCAGUGGGGAAUAUUGCACAAUGGGCGGAAGCCUGAUGCAGCGACGCCGCGUGGGGGAUGACGGCCUUCGGGUUGUAAACUCCUUUCGACAGGGACGAAGCGCAAGUGACGGUACCUGUAUAAGAAGCACCGGCUAACUACGUGCCAGCAGCCGCGGUAAUACGUAGGGUGCGAGCGUUGUCCGGAAUUACUGGGCGUAAAGAGCUCGUAGGUGGUUUGUCGCGUCGUCUGUGAAAUUCCGGGGCUUAACUUCGGGCGUGCAGGCGAUACGGGCAUAACUUGAGUGCUGUAGGGGAGACUGGAAUUCCUGGUGUAGCGGUGAAAUGCGCAGAUAUCAGGAGGAACACCGAUGGCGAAGGCAGGUCUCUGGGCAGUUACUGACGCUGAGGAGCGAAAGCAUGGGUAGCAAACAGG